AAUCACAAUCCUCAGUUUGUAAUAUCAGUCCUCUCCACACAACCCAAUUAUGUCAUCACAAAUUAAGGAAAACAUCAGAGGGAGAAUCAGUUACAAGAUCAGAAGAACUCUUAAUGGUAACACCCCCAGAUAUCAGCAUUACCUCGCCUGUUUGAUGGCCCAUCAGGGUCAUCAGCUGUACAAAGAACCUACUGAAAGGAGCCAGGGGCUACACCUUCUGAGUCAGCAGGAUGAGUAGGGGCAUGCCUAUAGAGAGAGAACUUUAAGGCUUUUCCAUGCCUUGUGCUGUGAAGCUUGUGUUUGGGACACAGGAAGUACAAGCCAGAUGGCAAAAGGAAUAUAAAGGGCAGCUGCAUCAUCUCCAUGUUGUAUUCAUUUCUGCUUCUUACUUCUGGAGUAACUUUUCUACAAACGAAGCUCUGAACAAAGGACUGAAUGACCCAUCUAGAGAUACUGAGCCUGAUACUAAGAACCUGAUAUACGGACUUCGAAGUCUCUGUAUUUAUUUGAUUGCUUUACCAUUUAACAAAUCUCUUGUUCUUUCUUUUUUCCUUAUAAUAAACCUUUAGUUUUAGACACUAAAGGAUAGACUGGCAGCAUGGUAUUUUAGGUAAGAUCCAAACUAACAUUGACCUGGUGACGUGGCUGACCCUUUGGGUCAGAAGAACAUUUUGUAUAGUAAGUAGAGUGUUUAAAUAACUUCUCACUGUACUGGAUCUAGGAGCUGAUUGGGAACCAAAGAACUGGAAUGCAAUAAAGGAAGAUGUGUGAUUUUUUUUUUUUUUUUUUAGCUUCUCAAUAACCAGUGUUGGGGAUCAGAAGCACAGUUUGUGACUGGUUGGUGAGUUUAACUUCAGUGUUAACCACCAGUUUGGGAGUGUCUGCUCUCCCUUAUGCAGCCUGCUCUGAACUUGACAUUUUCAGUAAGGGCUGCCCCAGGCACCCCGGGUCACACUCCAUUUCUUAGCAAAGAUUCAAAACUGGGUGUCUCAUUAGUAACUAUAACAGACCCUCACUAUAACACGCAUUGCUAUAGCGCGGAUUCGCAUAUAGCGCAAUCGCAGUGAUUUAAAUUGGGAUCCAUGGUAACGCGACCCCUGCUAUAAUGAGCUACUGCGCAUAGAUUCCGAACCCGCGUUCUAGCGAGGGUCCAGUGUAGUACUAUAGUGAUGCCUCAUUACUGAUAUAUCAUUAUUUUUCCUAGUAUACUUGAACAAAGCAUAUUUGUUGUAACGUACUGACCUUGAUAGAUACAAUUAUAUUUGUUUGGCCUCAUCAGUGAGACUAUUCAGGUGCAUAAAGUUAAGUUACUUGUUUGUGAGACGAUGGCCUUUCAUGUUCAUUUUGUAAAAUCCACAGUGGGUAGCACAGUUGUAAAUACAAAUUAAUGAGAUUCUCGCACAAAUACUUCCAAAAAGUAAUUUUUUAAAAAAGUCUUCCGUGACUAAGCUUGAGGUUUUGUUUUUUCCUGCUAAAACUGAUCACAUCAUUAACAUCAAAGUAGGAUACAAAAUGUAGAUCCCUGUACUACUAUAUAAGAUACAAAAACUGGAAAAGUUUAGUAGUGUCUGACAAGAGUAAAUGGUUUUCACUAUUUAAAAA